UGCUCAUGAAACGUUUGAUGAAUUGCUUAAUGAAUGUGUGUUAGAUUGAUGGAUAACAACAAAAGGCUGCAGCAAGAGGAUAUAGGAGACAAGGAAUCUUGUUCUGCGGAGGACAUGACGAGGACGGGGAUGAGUUGAAGGCAGCGGAUUCUCCAUUGCUUUGUCCCCAUGUUGGAGGGUAAAAUGUAAUCAUUCUCUAAGUGCCUCGGAGAAUGACUCGAGGGGUACAGAAGGUGAAGUAAGUACCACACAUGCCUCCAUAGCUAUGAUAUUAAAAGAGAGUAUGCCAGUUACUGUGAGGAAUUUGCCAAGCAACUCAAGGAGUGUAAUGGUGUUGAUUUUGAGAUUUGGUAGGAGGGUGCUCAGGGAAUGAAGAGUCUCAAAUAUGUGUUGGAGGAAGUUUAUAAUCUCAAUAGGUUUCCCUCAUCCCACCCUAUGAUGAAAGAUGCACUAGAGCUUGAUGGCACCAUGAAGAUGGUGAGAGUGGAGGUGUGUUGUUUUGGUUUGUACAUAAUUUCCAACUGUAACUUAAUAUCUUCCGUUUUGGGUAUUUCCU